UUCAGCAACUAAAAGGGAAACAUAAAUCUUAUCAGUCAAACAGGAGUGCAAGGAAUACUUACAAAUGUAUUGUUCUGUGCCGAAGUACCAUAUAAUUUAAUAUCGGUAUCAAAGAUGCAGCAAGCAGGAUUCACCAUAAUAUUUGAUGACAAAGGCACACAAAUUACAAAGGAAGGUAAAAUCAUCAUGAAAGGUAACCAGUUGGCAGACUUGUUGACAAAACCUUUACCAGUCGUGUCUUUUAUAAGACUGAGAAAAGGAUUGGGUAUAGAAUAAGUUUUAAUUUAAGUACAAUUUCAUUAUGAAAUGGUCUGAUCAGGUUUUCUGGGUUUCCCUGAUCCUGUGCAGCAAAUGUUGGACCAUUAUUGUACAGUUGUCCCAGACCUUACUUGGAAGUAUAAUAUGUUACGUCGUAUUUAUAAGUUGGUAUUCACUUUGUAAUGUUGAAUUGUAGACUAGAUACUGUAUAGUAAACUAACGAAUGACUAAAAGUUAGGGAUUAAUUUUUGAGGGGGCGUGUUGGAUUAUAUAAAGCAAAAACUAAUACCCCUAACUUUCGAUAACAUUGUUCUUUGUUCUAUCUGAACAAUCUACUGUUUAUUUAACUCUACACACACUGCGUCACGGGAUCUUGUUAGACGGACGUAUUGCUUCCAAGUACCAUUUAAAGUAUAGAAUAAAUAUUUCAAUAUCAAA